rnacentral:rRNA from 1 species
AUUGAACGCUGGCGGCAUGCUUUACACAUGCAAGUCGAGCGGCAGCGCGGGACUCAGGCAACUGAGCCCUGGCGGCGAGCGGCGAACGGGUGAGGAAUACAUCGGAACGUACCCCGGAGUGGGGGAUAACGCCGCGAAAGCGGCGCUAAUACCGCAUAUGCUCUGUGGAGGAAAGUGGGGGACCCGCAAGGGCCUCACGCUCUGGGCGCGGCCGAUGCCGAUUAGCUAGUUGGUGAGGUAAUGGCUCACCAAGGCGACGAUCGGUAGCUGGUCUGAGAGGAUGAUCAGCCACACUGGGACUGAGACACGGCCCAGACUCC